AGCGAGCGGCCAGGCUGCGGGCGGGGUGGGCUGGCGCUCCUGAUCCACCUGGAACACUUUUGCAAAGACAGACGGUGAGUUAAUCACCCUACCGGCUGGCGGCCGCGUCCCCUCUCGCCCGCGAGGAGGACUGGAGAAGGGGCUGGGGUGGAGGUUUUCUCUGUGUGUGUCUAGGGUUGGGGGCAGGAGAGGUUAGUUCUAUUAAGAGUUCAUCAAUCACCCGGUGUGCACUUUUCGCUCGACAGCGGUUCCUCCUACUUCAGAGCAAGUCUGGGCCAGCUGGGAUCCGACCAGAAAUCGCAAGCGGAGGAGACGCAGUAGCGCAGGCUGAGCGCUAACUGAAGGCGCGACCUGAGCCCGGCGCCUGCUGGGGAGCUGCGCAGCCAGGACAGCGGUCGGCAGCACAGGGCCUGGGCGCAGGGCCCGCCGUCACCACCUCACGUCGGAAGCCAGCACUGCUGCCCGCCAGCCCUGCCGCCUGCCCUCGGACUUCCCAGGGCGCCCAGGGUCCUCCCAACGCGCCUGCACCCACACCCGCCCCUGAGCCACAGUGACCUUGCAUUCCCCGCCCCCUGCCACACCUCCUGCGUGCCCGAGUGUCACCCUUAAAUACCGCUCUACACCCAGAGAGGGACGAAUACACCUCUGAAGACAGGGCAAGACUAAUUUCAAUGGGUCAGAAGGUUCUUGCAGGCACUGUUUUAUUUAAGAGUGCCUAUUUACUGGCAGGAGUAUUUGUGUGGGAGGAAGUAGGCUAAGACUGCUGUUGAACUUGAAGCUAAACUUGAAUGCCAUUUAAAAUAACAAUAAAAAUAUACUUAAAACACCAAUCACAAUGAUAUGACUCACCUCUUUCCAGUGUGGAGGAAACACUCCAGUAUUUUUACCUCCGUUCUUUCCGGUGUAUUUUAAGAACACCCUAAAGGGAUAGACAGUAAGUGUCUGAGGGUAGUCACUAGCAUUAGAG
rnacentral:lncRNA from 1 species